GACGAACGCUGGCGGCGUGCUUAACACAUGCAAGUCGAACGAAAAAUCAUUGAAAGCUUGCUGAUAUGAUUUUUAGUGGCGGACGGGUGAGUAACGCGUGAGGACUUGUCUUAUACAGGGGGACAACAGUUGGAAACGGCUGCUAAUACCGCAUAAUCUCGAGAGAGCAAAGCUGCAGCAAUGUAGCGCUUUUAGAGGGGCCUGCGUCCGAUUAGUUAGUUGGUGAGGUAAAAGCUCACCAAGACGAUGAUCGGUAACUGGUCUGAGAGGACGACCAGUCACACUGGGACUGAGACACGGCCCAGACUCCUACGGGAGGCAGCAGUGGGGAAUCUUGGACAAUGGGGGAAACCCUGAUCCAGCGAUGCCGCGUGAGUGAAGAAGGCCUUCGGGUCGUAAAGCUCUUUAGGCUGGGAAGAAGGAUAUUCGAGGGAAUGCGAGUAUUUUGACUGUACCAGCAGAAUAAGCACCGGCAAACUCUGUGCCAGCAGCCGCAGUAA
rnacentral:rRNA from 1 species